AGUGAACGCUGGCGGUAGGCCUAACACAUGCAAGUCGAACGGCAGCACAGUAGGAGCUUGCUCUUACGGGUGGCGAGUGGCGGACGGGUGAGGAAUACAUCGGAAUCUACUUUUUCGUGGGGGAUAACGUAGGGAAACUUACGCUAAUACCGCAUACGACCUACGGGUGAAAGCAGGGGAUCUUCGGACCUUGCGCGAUUGAAUGAGCCGAUGUCGGAUUAGCUAGUUGGCGGGGUAAAGGCCCACCAAGGCGACGAUCCGUAGCUGGUCUGAGAGGAUGAUCAGCCACACUGGAACUGAGACACGGUCCAGACUCCUACGGGAGGCAGCAGUGGGGAAUAUUGGGCAAUGGGCGCAAGCCUGAUCCAGCCAUACCGCGUGGGUGAAGAAGGCCUUCGGGUUGUAAAGCCCUGUUGUUGGGAAAGAAAAGCAGCAGGUUAAUACCCCGCUGUUCUGACGGUACCCAAAGAAUAAGCACCGGCUAACUUCGUG
rnacentral:rRNA from 1 species